rnacentral:rRNA from 1 species
UGGGGAAUAUUGGACAAUGGGCGAAAGCCUGAUCCAGCCAUGCCGCGUGAGUGAUGAAGGCCCUAGGGUUGUAAAGCUCUUUCAACGGUGAAGAUAAUGACGGUAACCGUAGAAGAAGCCCCGGCUAACUUCGUGCCAGCAGCCGCGGUAAUACGAAGGGGGCUAGCGUUGUUCGGAAUUACUGGGCGUAAAGCGCACGUAGGCGGAUCGGUCAGUUAGGGGUGAAAUCCCGGGGCUCAACCCCGGAACUGCCUUUAAUACUGCCGAUCUCGAGUCCGGAAGAGGUGAGUGGAAUUCCGAGUGUAGAGGUGAAAUUCGUAGAUAUUCGGAGGAACACCAGUGGCGAAGGCGGCUCACUGGUCCGGUACUGACGCUGAGGUGCGAAAGCGUGGGGAGCAAACA